UGCCCUCGAGUAGGGGAUAACCUGGGGAAACCCGGGCUAAUACCCCCCAAUAUUCCGACUUCACACUGACUUGGAAUCAAAGGCCCGCAAGGGUCGCUCGGGGAGGGGGCUGCGGCCGAUUAGCUAGUUGGCGGGGUAACGGCCCACCAAGGCGAUGAUCGGUAGCCGGCCUGAGAGGGCGCACGGCCACACUGGCACUGAAACACGGGCCAGACUCCUACGGGAGGCAGCAGUGGGGAAUUUUGCACAAUGCCCGAAAGGGUGAUGCAGCAACGCCGCGUGAGGGAUGAAGGUCUUCGGAUCGUAAACCUCUUUCGAUCGGGAAAAAUGGGCGGGUGAAUAAUCCGCUCUGAUGGUACCGGAAGAAGAAGCCCCGGCUAACUACGUGCCGGCAGCCGCGGUAAUACGUAGGGGGGCGAGCGUUGUUCGGAAUUACUGGGC
rnacentral:rRNA from 1 species